rnacentral:rRNA from 1 species
GUCCACGCCGUAAACGAUGUACACUAGACUGGUGCGGUUUUGACGCCGUAUCAGUCGCAGUAAAAACGAUAAGUGUACCGCCUGGGGAGUACGGUCGCAAGGCUAAAACUCAAAUGAAUUGACGGGGGGCUCACACAAGCGGUGGAGCAUGUUGCUUAAUUCGAGGCAACGCGAAGAACCUUACCUGGGCUUGACAUGUACGUAUUAACCCUAUGAAAGUAGGGCCACAGUCGCAAGACCGGAACGUGCACAGGUGCUGCAUGGCUGUCGU